rnacentral:tRNA from 1 species
GGGGGCAUAGCACAGUUGGUAGAGUGCAUGCUUAGCAUGCAUGAGGUCCUGGGUUCAAUCCCCAGGACCUCCA